AUUGAACGCUGGCGGCAUGCCUUACACAUGCAAGUCGAACGGCAGCACGGGAGCAAUCCUGGUGGCGAGUGGCGAACGGGUGAGUAAUAUAUCGGAACGUGCCCAGUCGUGGGGAUAACGUAGCGAAAGCUACGCUAAUACCGCAUACGAUCUAUGGAUGAAAGCGGGGGAUCGCAAGACCUCGCGCGAUUGGAGCGGCCGAUAUCAGAUUAGGUAGUUGGUGAGGUAAAGGGCUCACCCAAGCCGACGAUCUGUAGCUGGUCUGAGAGGACGACCAGCCACACUGGGACUGAGACACGGCCCAGACUCCUACGGAGGCAGCAGUGGGGAAUUUUUGGACAAUGGGCGAAAGCCUGAUCCAGCAAUGCCGCGUGCAGGAUGAAGGCC
rnacentral:rRNA from 1 species